rnacentral:tRNA from 6 species
UCUCGGUUCAAAUCCGAUAAGGGGC